GGCUCUGGCUGUGAUCCUGUUUCUCUGUGUAUCCCUUGUGUCCCCUCCCCCUCUGUCUGUCUGUGUGUCUGUCUGUGUGUGUGUGUGUGUGUGUGUGUGUCUCUGGAGGGCGUGGCUUCAAUCAAACACCUGGUGACUACUCACACCUGCAACUCAUCUGCUCAUCUGCCUCAGGCUAAGACCCUGGGUUCAACUCGACUCACUGCCAGAUUAUUUAGUCUACUGAAGUGAUUUUCCCCGGUGUCAUCUCCUCCAGUCUGCUCUCCCCUCGGACUACUCAACCAAUUACCUGUCUGCCUACGGAACCGGCUAACUCCAUAAGUCUCCUCCAUGCCGUCACUACCAGCCAGCCAGUUAGCCAUUCACCGAAAACUAGCCCUGCAAUAAAACCUCAAACCCUUCAA